rnacentral:lncRNA from 1 species
AAGAAUUCCAGAGUCUUCCUUGCACAUGCUAUUUACAUGAAGUACUGCAGUAGUCAGAGUAUACCACCUCCACGGAUGUCUCUAGUAGAUGAGAAUUUAAGACUGUACAGAGAGAGCAAAAUGAGCAUGGGAAGGAAAGUAUAGUUAGUUCACAGAACUUUCAGUGCUGUAGCUGCUAUUCAGUGUGAUGGGUGGAAAUAAACCACCCCAUGGGAGUGGAAUCUGUCCAGAGAAAGAGAGAAAUGGCUUAUGUGGGAAAAUGUUGGUUGGAGAAGCAUUUGACAGUUUUCAUCAGUUAUUAACACAAAGGUAAGAGAGAAUAAGUGUAGAGGGGGGAAAAGUGGGAAAAGUUUGGAAAAGUAAUAUCUAGAUUUUUAGAGGGAUUCUGAAGCCAUGAAUACCAAGGCUGGUCAGCAUGGUUUUUUUUGUUUGUUUGUUUUUGUUUUUUGUUUGUUUUUUGUUUUGUUUUGUUUUUUGCUGAGAAAAACAGCAAGAGAAAACCAGCAAGAGAAAACAGAAGGUCGAUGUACUGAUGGAGUGAAGAUGAAUUUUUUCAAUCAUCUGACAACAAAUAUAUGCUUCAUGUGUUGUGAUCUCUGGCUGUCUCUGGGGCUUUGAUCACCCUGAAGGAUGCCCAUCUUACAGAACACGUCCUGAGACAGCUCAUUAAACCACCCCACGUAUUCACUUCAUUACAGCUUUUUAACAUAUACAUCUUAUUACAUGGAACUCUUCAUGAAUCUCAUUAAAAUCUCAGAAGAGCUAGCUCACUCUUGAAAACAUGUGGUCAUUCUGCCUCUCAGGAGCAACUGUAUAAGAUGUUUGUCCGACAUGGAGAGGUAAAUGGAAAGGAGAUGCUGGAGGAGGAAGAAGAAAAGGGAAAAGAAGAGAUAGAGGUACAAGGGAAAGUUGAAUUUUCCGGAGGCUAGACCUAUGAUAUCUUCCUGCUGUCUUCUAUCAAGUCAGACAUUAAAGAAAUUUGCAAACAUGUAAAACAAUGACACUCUUUUCACUUUUUCUUCAAAAGUAUCUUACCAUUUACUAUUGAAAAAUAUUUUAAACAUUUGUUACCAUGUUUCUGUGCCAUUCUAAAUUCCUCAAUUUUAAUUUCUAAAUCAAUAGAUAUAACACACAUACAAGAAGCAUUUUGGGGUUCUGAGUCAUUGUAUCAAUAUAGAAGGCCAUAAGAAAUACCA